UACGGAGGAUGCGAGCGUUAUCCGGAUUUAUUGGGUUUAAAGGGUGCGUAGGCUGUUAUGUAAGUCAGUGGUAAAAGGUACAGGCUUAACUUGUAUAUGCCAUUGAAACUGUAUAGCUAGGAUAUGGAUGAAGUGUGCGGAAUGUGUGGUGUAGCGGUGAAAUGCAUAGAUAUCACACAGAACACCGAUAGCGAAGGCAGCACACUAAGGCAAUAUUGACGCUGAGGCACGAAAGUGUGGGGAUCAAACAGGAUUAGAUACCCUGGUAGUCCACACUGUAAACGAUGAUAACUAGCUGUUGUCGAUAUAAUGACAGUAGCGAAGCGAAAGCGAUAAGUUAUCCACCUGGGGAGUACGGCCGCAAGGUUGAA
rnacentral:rRNA from 1 species